UACGGAGGGAGCAAACGGUGCUCGGAAUCAUUGGGCGUAAAGCGCACGUAGGCGGUCCGGUAAGUCGGAUGUGAAAGCCCUCGGCUCAACCGAGGAAGUGCAUUCGAAACUGCCGGACUUGAGUACGGGAGAGGGAUGCGGAAGUCCCGGUGUAGAAGUGAAAUUCGUAGAUAUCGGGAGGAACACCAGUGGCGAAGGCGGCAUCCUGGGCCGAUACUGACGCUGAGGUGCGAAAGCGUGGGGAGCAAACAGG
rnacentral:rRNA from 1 species